GUGCGGUAAGUCAAACGGCCAGACUGCGGCUUGCAAACCCGUAUUUACUCGGUUCGACUCCGAGACUGCACUCCA
rnacentral:tRNA from 1 species